rnacentral:rRNA from 1 species
ACGCACGCUGGCGGCAUGCCUAACACCUGCAAGUCGAACGAACCCUUCGGGGUUAGUGGCGCACGGGUGCGUAACGCGUGGGAAUCUGCCCUUUGCUUCGGAAUAACUCAGGGAAACUUGUGCUAAUACCGGAUGAUGUCUUCGGACCAAAGAUUUAUCGGCAAGGGAUGAGCCCGCGUAGGAUUAGGUAGUUGGUGGGGUAAAGGCCUACCAAGCCGACGAUCCUUAGCUGGUCUGAGAGGAUGAUCAGCCACACUGGGACUGAGACACGGCCCAGACUCCUACGGGAGGCGGCAGUGGGGAAUAUUGGACAAUGGGCGCAAGCCUGAUCCAGCAAUGCCGCGUGAGUGAUGAAGGCCCUCGGGUCGUAAAGCUCUUUUACCAGGGAUGAUAAUGACAGUACCUGGAGAAUAAGCUCCGGCUAACUCCGUG